UAAUUGGGGGGUUUCUCGAGAAUCUAAGAGAAGCGGUGGACAGAUUUGUUGUGUCAGAGUUAAUGUUUACAUUAGUAUUAUCUCUGGUGGCUAACGUGUGAAAAUCCUGGGUGGAGAGGAAAGGACCGGUCUGUGAGGCGGGUUUGACGAGACCAGUGUGGCAGUUUUGGGAGCAGCAGGGGGGAGCUGUGGGCUUGCGUACUCCCUUGGAGGAGGGGGGUGUUUGUUUGUUUCCUUAUUUAAGUUUCUAGUUUAGCAUUUAUAGUUAAAACCUAUAUCUUUUUUGUUGAGUAGUUGUUUGUGAAGACUUUGUUUGUGUGUAAGUAAUUAAGUGUUAAUAAAUAUCUCGUUUUCACAUAAA